rnacentral:rRNA from 1 species
UACGGAAGGCAGCAGUGGGGAAUAUUGCACAAUGGGCGCAAGCCUGAUGCAGCCAUGCCGCGUGUAUGAAGAAGGCCUUCGGGUUGUAAAGUACUUUCAGUCGUGAGGAAGGUGUUAAGGUUAAUAACCUUAGCAAUUGACGUUAGCGACAGAAGAAGCACCGGCUAACUCCGUGCCAGCAGCCGCGGUAAUACGGAGGGUGCGAGCCGUUAAUCGGAAUUACUGGGCGUAAAGGGCACGCAGGCGGUUAAUUAAGUUGGAUGUGAAAUCCCCGGGCUUAACCUGGGAAUGGCAUUCAAGACUGGUUAGCUAGAGUCUUGUAGAGGGGGUAGAAUUCCAUGUGUAGCGGUGAAAUGCGUAGAGAUGUGGAGGAAUACCGGUGGCGAAGGCGGCCCCUGGACAAAGGCUGACGCUCAUGUGCGAAAGCGUGGGGAGCAAAC